CCGCCACCCCCAUCUUCUUCCUUCUCCCAGAUCCACUCCUUUCCGUCCGCCGCACACCCACCGCUCCGAUGUUCUCUCGUUCCUCGACCCAGUCCCCACCUCCCCAUCCUCUCCCGUCCUUCCUCCACCCACACUGCGUGGCAACUAUACCCUCCCCCUCCGCCCUGUCUUCACGUCACAUCCGCAACAUGCGCUGCUGAUCUGCCGAGUUUGACGGUGGCAGCAGCCUGAGUGAUGAGAUCUGCGUCUUGGGCGCGCGCAGAUCUAGCAUGGGCCCAUCCCCAGAUGUUGGCCUGGUCGGAGCAGAGCAACCGUGCGGUGGCCGGUCUAGGACAAUGGCUCGCAGGAGGCCAUAGUGUACCCUAGCCACCGCUGCAUUCCGGUGUGGCUCCCGCCCCUUCUGUUGGCUUCCUUGACACCAUGGCCUCAUGAUGCUGCUUCGACCACAGGGUACCCAGUAAAGACAGAAGGCACAUGUUCGUCAACCGGCUGCACUGUGCUAUGUGGGCUUCUAUCAAGAUUAAAUUUUGUUUAAUUUUCUACCAAGAUCUUUUAGAUUUUUCUGACAGUUUUAUGUAUCGCUGUUCUCUAAUCAACAUAAUUAAUUGUUCUAUAUGCAUUAAGUUUACUUUUCUAUCAAAAUAAAAUUCAGUAUGAAUCAAUGUAAUCAAGUGGUGAAUAAUUUCAUCAAAUAGGAGACAUAAUUUCUGUACUGUAUUAAUA